rnacentral:lncRNA from 1 species
CUUAUCUUCCCUAUUCAUAUUCUUAGUAUGUCUAUAUAUACCCGCACUCAACAUUUCCUUGGUUGUAUCUAUCUCUAGCUUCCAACGUUGAUAGGCAAUAUUUCUUUCUUUUCAAUGGAGAAGCUAGCUAAGUGAUAAUAUUCUAUCGAUCAUGGUAACUACCUUCAAAACAUGUUUUCAUUUUAUAUAUACAAAGAUAGAUUGAUCACUUUGCAUGUUCGAUUUGUUUAAUUAAAAGUAAAAGUUUUGUUAUAUUUUCUUGUUGUAAGUUCUUUGUGAUUAAAUUUGUUGAUGGGAAUAGGUGGUAUCGAAAAUAAGGUAAUAUAUAUCAUUUGGUCUAGGUUUUCAAAUAAGUUUCUUCGACUCUUUGUUAUAUAUCCCGAUCUAGGUUUAAUUAAUUACUGCAUCUAAGCUUUGUUGAUUAGAAAUUUUGAUCCACCCAUCAGUUCAAUUGACUGGAAAUGUGGUUCAUCUAUAACAUUCCAAUUUAUCAUAUCAUUUAUUAAAAUUCAAUAGUUUGCGGGGGAAAUAAUCUGAUCCUGAACAUAGUCUAAGGAAAUGGCGAGCCUUGGCGCACUUUUGAAGAGAACAAGAGUUUGAAAGUCCAUUAAUCAUAAUUCUGAACGGAACGUAGAAACUCAUUUGAAAUUAGACAUUUGAAAGUACUCCAAAAAUUAAAUAUGACAAACGAUCUACAUUGGAUCCUAUUGUAGAUCGGAAAGGAAGUUAUUCUUUCAUUAGUUUGUACUGGUAUUUUCGUUAAGGUUCGGAGAAAAGUAUGGUAUCUAAGCUUGUCGGUUAGCGAGAUUGUAUCAUAGCAAGAAAAUGAAGAAAUUUCUAGUAAACAUCCAUUAUUUGUUAUGUUUAUCAUAAUACCUUGUUGUACCAUAUUUUAGGAAUUUGCGGCAACAAAAUAUAACAACCUCAUUCCAGAUCUGGAAUUAUUUCAACAUAAGUAUUUUGAUUUUUUUUCUUCUUGUGCAGUUUAUGAACAACGGUGUUCAGUGUUGGAGGGACAGAGUUACUCGAUGGAAGUACUUGUUGCAUCCAGUUAUCAACCAAACUGGAUUACGUACAAUAUUAUUUAGGUAUGCUAUAAUUUGUUUUACGGUGUUCAAACAACUCAAUUAUACAGCUUUGAUAAAUGCGACUCAUUGCAACAUGAAUUGAAGUUUUUUGUACUUUCCUAAAUUUUGAAACAUACCUUCUUUGGGAAGAUAGGUCUCCAAUUGUUGCACACAAAAGAUACAAAAUCCCUGGGCAAAGAUACAACCUUGAUUGAUGUGCACAAGGAAUUCGGGAAACGUUGGCCAGAGAAUGCAAAAUGGAUAUUCCUUAUAGAACAGAGCAUUCAAUACAAAAAAUCUCUGGAACUCAAAUCGGCGAAAGUAUCUACCAAGGGAGAAAUCAGAAGACAAAGGUCGACAAACAACCAAAGUCAGUUUUGCUGGAAUACAUAAAGCUUGCGUGCACACUUGGGCAUGCUUGAUGGAUUGGGUGGUAUCGGGAAUUUUACUUGAUAAAUUGAUCAGUAUUGUUUUACGUUUUAUAAUUAAGAGCAUCUUCAAUCCUACAAUAUCUUUAUGGUGCAAAUGUAGGAUGUUUUUAUAGAAAAAAUAGCCAAAAAACUUAAAGUAAAAACAACAUCUUCAAUGUUUCAAUAGGGUUUCAUGAAGUCAGUAGGAACAAUGAGUGUCACGCAGAACUGUUAAUUUAAUAUCUCGCAGAACUACUUAAUGUCGCA